GUUUUGUUUUGGGUGAUGUUCAGCAUUUUGUGCCCUGAUAGGAAUUUUAAUGAACAGAAAACAAAAGCACUGGUACCAAGCUGAGCCCAGUGGAUGAAUCAGGUAGGCGGGUGUAUUCAUUGCACCAAUGGCUGGCAGUUCUCUUGUGCCACGGUGGCCCAAAUGUCAGUCAACCAGACAUGUCUUCUGAGAGGUAAGUUUUUGAAAAAUACUAGACUUUUCUCAAAUGUAUUUCUUUACAGGAAUAAAAAGAAAGCUAAUUUUGCAUGAGCAUGCAGGAAGUCUGCAGACAGACAUUCUACAUAGUCCCUUGGGGACUCAGUAGAAGUGGAAUCAAGACCAACCCAAGCCCAACAAGGCAGCUCCGCUGGUUAAUGCCUCCCAGAUCUGUCAUCUGUGAUAAAGAGCCUCGCUGUAGCUGAGGAGCUGGCCAAGAACCUUUCCCAGUUAGCCAAGUUCGUGAAGAAGUCACAUGUGGUGAAUAUAUUAUCAUCAGAAUGCGGAGCAAUGAAAUGUAAACAGAUAGGAAUCGUCACUAAAGCUCCAACUGCAGCCUCCGGGUGCCAUAGCUUUUGCACCAUCCAUUUGCACCAUCUCUGCAGAUGUCUGCAUCAUCUGUAUUGACCUGCUCCCCAGAUUAAUACCGAAGCACUGCAAUUUCUUGAGGAUUAUCCACCUAGGAGGAAAUGAUACGCUGGCCCAUCCAUAGUAGUCAAGGGAACCACCAUCUCAGAUGGUAGAAACCACUCAGAAGGAUCAACUGCUGCAGACGGGAAGAGGAGCAACCUCGUGAAUAAUUUCGUGACAGGAUAUUGCAGGAGGGACUUUGUCCAAAUGUGUGCAGGCUCCCACUGCCAGGAUUGGAGCUGCCCCUGUCACCAUAUGGACCAUGUCACCUAAACUGUGAGCCAAUGUGAACCUCCCCAUGUUGUGUCACUCCCACCAGGUAGUUGGCUACAGCAACAAGGAUGACGAACACAGAUGAAUUGAUCAGGAUGUAACCAUUCAAAGUUGAGAGGAUUAGAGGACUUCUCCGAGGCGGCUCCAAUGGAUGCCAGCAGAGUUAAAGUGUCCAAUGGAGAGAAGAGAAGGCUUGGGAAAUCCAGAGUCCAUUCAUUCAUCGCCCUCCUCCUAGAACAACAAAAGCGAGCCCCAGUACUCAUCAGCAUGGACUCUGUGUGUAGUCAUCUCCCUUAGUUUCAGAGGUUCCUGCCUACAGCAAAACUUUAGAGGCUUAGAGUUUAACGGUCAUAGCUUAUUCACCUCCAACUGUGUCCUAGUUCAAGAGAAACACUUCACAUAUCUGUAGGGAGAAGAUAAUGAACCAAGGAUACAAGUUAAGCCUUAGCUAAGACCUGUUACUCAGGAAAAAGAGCUAAAACAAGCUGCUUAGAUCAGCACCAAUGUUAGGUAGAGAGAAAAAGAAACGCUGCAUAGAAAUCUUAAGGUUCACAUGUGCUCCAGGCUGGGUCAACAACUUCUAAUUUCCUUUGCCAACCAACCAUGUCUUUGACAGAAAUGAUCCUUCUACAUAGACCACAGAGGGAUCCAAUGGAGGUUUCUCUUCCUGAAUUUGGGGAUUCAGAAUCUGGACAAAUUCCUUUCCAUCAAAGUCCAGUACAAAAGUAGUACCAUGGCAGUCCCUGCAGGGACUUGCAUCACUUUCCCUAGAGAUAUCAAGAGAAUUUUUAGUGAUAAGAAUAUGGCACAAAAUGAGAAAUCCCAUUACUCUUAAGAGAAUCUCUUCCUUCUCAAAGGCACCUGAUUAAUACAUAUAGUACUAUCAGUAAGGCUGAGCAAAAGGAUACUGAUGUUCUGAGUGAUCUUAAAUCAUGUAAUAAUAACUUUAUUCGUAGUAUAGAACGGAAUAUUCCCUAUUAGUAAUCAGUUCCUUUGCCAGAUCCUCAUAGUAUCUUAGUCACUGUUUUAUUGUUAUGAAGAGAAACUUUGACCACAGCACCUCUUAGAAAAAAGGAAGCAUUUAAUCGGGACUUCCUUAUGGUUUCACAGUUUUACAUAAUUGUCAACAUGGCAGAGAACAUGGGGGCACGCAAACAGACAUGGUGCUGGAGAAGUAGCGGAGAAUAUACAGCAACAUAUAGAUACAAAAUAUAGAUACAUAUAGAUACAGAAUAUAGAUACAUAUAGCUACAUAUAGAUCUGCAGGCAGCAGGAAGAGACUGGGACAAGGCCAUACCUUCUAAGGCUUCUCAAGGAGUGUCACUUCCUGAUGACCAAGCAUUCAAGUGUAUGAGCUUAUGGGAGCCAUUCUUAUUCAAGCCACCACACAUAGCAAAGCUGAUAAUGUCAUUUUCUGAAUUAACCAGGCCAAGGCACACUUCUUAGCAACAUGGUUACCUGGUAACCAGAGAUUUUUCUCAUCCCAUGAGAGAUUUCAUUCAAGAACUGAUCUUCUAACAGUUUUGUCUCUCUUAAGAAUGCUACAGACAGGGUGGGGUGAGGCACAGUGCUGAAGCCCCUCAAGUUUCCCAGAGGGAUGAGUCCAUGAAAGACGAAAAUCAUGUGGUCACACUGAGCAUAGACUUCACAAGCAUCAUGCUAGGAUUCCAUUUUCUUUCUCAACACAAUGAUAAAUUCUUCUUCCAAUAAGCAGAAAAUCAUCCAAUGGGAAAAAAAAAUAAAACCAACUAACUUGCAGUCCUUUGGAACAGUUUCAUAGCUUACAGGAUGGCUUCAUAACCCUGGGGACACUCGUUUUGACAUGAAAACUUCCUUCAGAACAGGAAUUCUGAUCCAACAUGUGCUCAGACAUCAUUUCAGUCACUUGCAAAUGAACAAGAAAGCUCAUGUAAAUGAGGAGGCUCAACUCCCAGGCCUGGUGAGUGGGUAAGACAUUCCUCUGCUGGGUUUUGAAGGCUGUCUGAAACCAUCGGCUGACAUCCUUCUCUGUGUGCAUGUAUGCACUAUCUACGGGAAAUUCAGCUCCAACCGGUUGUCUCUACAGCUCCCUUAAUCUUCUCCUCCCUCCUCCUGGCAUUGGCAUGUGUCCCAGGACUGCAGCGAGGAGUGCUUACCAACAAAGGUGCUGGCAUCUGCAUUUGUUUCACAGCCACAAACCUAAUGGUUCCAUGAUUUUGGCGAGCAAAACUGUCAAAAUGCCUGAGCACAAGAGAUCACAAGAUGAGCCAAGGCAUAGUGUGCAUGCCUUCCUUCCCAGCACUCGGAAGGCAGAGGCAAGGGGAUCUCUGUGGGUUCAAGGCCAGCCUGAAUCACAAGGUGUACUGGGGAUUCUUUUUUAUUGUUUUCCUUUUGCUAUCUGGAAUAGUUUGAGAUUGUAUUUGAUCAGUGCAUUAAACAAC
rnacentral:lncRNA from 1 species